CGGGAAACUGCAGGUAACACCGGAUACGCACGAGAGUGGAAAGUUUACGCCCUGGGAUGGGCCCGCGUCGGAUUAGGUAGUUGGUGGGGUAACGGCCUACCAAGCCUGCGAUCCGUAACCGGUCUGAGAGGAUGAUCGGUCACACUGGGACUGAGACACGGCCCAGACUCCUACGGGAGGCAGCAGUGGGGAAUCUUGGACAAUGGGGGCAACCCUGAUCCAGCGACGCCGCGUGGGUGAUGAAGGCCUUCGGGUCGUAAAGCCCUUUUGCCGGGGAAGAUGAUGACGGUACCCGGAGAAGAAGCACCGGCUAACUCUGUGCCAGCAGCCGCGGUAAGACAGAGGGUGCUAGCGUUGUUCGGAAUUACUGGGCGUAAAGGGCGCGUAGGCGGCUCGUUUAGUCGGGUGUGAAAUCCCGGGGCUCAACCCCGGAACUGCAUUCGAUACUGGCGGGCUAGAGACCGAGAGAGGUGGGUGGAAUACCCAGUGUAGAGGUGAAAUUCGUAGAUAUUGGGUGGAACACCGGUGGCGAAGGCGGCUCACUGGCUCGGUUCUGACGCUGAGGCGCGAAAGCGUGGGGAGCAAAUGGGAUUAGAUACC
rnacentral:rRNA from 1 species